GCCGGAGUAGCCUAAUUGGUAAGGCGCUUGCCUGAAGAGCAGGUAGGAGUCUCACCGCUCCUUUGUGGGUUCAAGUCCCGCCUCCGGCG
rnacentral:tRNA from 1 species